rnacentral:rRNA from 1 species
UAUGCAGGCGGAUCUCUAAGUCGGGGGUGAAAUCCUGAGGCUCAACCUCAGAACUGCCUUCGAUACUGGAAAUCUUGAGUCCGGGAGAGGUGAGUGGAACUGCGAGUGUAGAGGUGAAAUUCGUAGAUAUUCGCAAGAACACCAGUGGCGAAGGCGGCUCACUGGCCCGGUACUGACGCUGAGAUACGAAAGCGUGGGGAGCAAACAGGAUUAGAUACCCUGGUAGUCC